ACGCUGGCGGCGUGCUUAACACAUGCAAGUCGAACGAUGAAGCCUAGCUUGCUAGGUGGAUUAGUGGCGAACGGGUGAGUAAUACGUGAGUAACCUACCUUUAACUCUGGGAUAAGCCUGGGAAACUGGGUCUAAUACCGGAUACGACCAAUCUCCGCAUGGGGUGUUGGCGGAAAGCGUUAUGUAAUGGUUAUAGAUGGGCUCACGGCCUAUCAGCUUGUUGGUGAGGUAACGGCUCACCAAGGCGACGACGGGUAGCCGGCCUGAGAGGGUGACCGGCCACACUGGGACUGAGACACGGCCCAGACUCCUACGGGAGGCAGCAGUGGGGAAUAUUGCACAAUGGGCGCAAGCCUGAUGCAGCGACGCCGCGUGAGGGAUGACGGCCUUCGGGUUGUAAACCUCUGUUAGCAGGGAAGAAGAGAGAUUGACGGUACCUGCAGAGAAAGCGCCGGCUAACUACGUGCCAGCAGCCGCGGUAAUACGUAGGGCGCGAGCGUUGUCCGGAAUUAUUGGGCGUAAAGAGCUUGUAGGCGGUUUGUCGCGUCUGCUGUGAAAGGCCGGAGCUUAACUCCGUGUAUUGCAGUGGGUACGGGCAGGCUAGAGUGCAGUAGGGGAGACUGGAAUUCCUGGUGUAGCGGUGGAAUGCGCAGAUAUCAGGAGGAACACCGAUGGCGAAGGCAGGUCUCUGGGCUGUAACUGACGCUGAGAAGCGAAAGCAUGGGGAGCGAACAGGAUUAGAUACCCUGGUAGUCCAUGCCGUAAACGUUGGGCACUAGGUGUGGGGGACAUUCCACGUUUUCCGCGCCGUAGCUAACGCAUUAAGUGCCCCGCCUGGGGAGUACGGCCGCAAGGCUAAAACUCAAAGAAAUUGACGGGGGCCCGCACAAGCGGCGGAGCAUGCGGAUUA
rnacentral:rRNA from 1 species